CCUAAGCUAAACUUUGUAAAGCAUAACAAAUAGAAAGACAACAAAACUCCAACAUCAUGUCCUCCGCAUCCCAUCAUCAACUAAAAUCAUGGCCAGCACUAAACUUCAUGGAUGCACGAACUGUGGCAAAUAUCAUCAAGAAAGAGAAUCCUGACUUUCAAAUAUUCAUAUUGUUGGCAGGAAGUCCAGUAACAAAGGAUCUUAAACAUGGUCGAGUUCGACUCUUUACUAAUAUGGAGGAAAUAGUGGUUAUUGUUCCUCAAGAGGGCUGAAAUGUAAACCCUACAUCUUCAAAUAAUAAAUAAUAUAUAAAAGUAAUAAACUACUUCUUCUACUA